rnacentral:lncRNA from 1 species
CUAUAGUUUGGAGGAUCAAGAUGGAGAGUGGAGAUACUUCUCUGCAUGGAGCGCCCAGAGAUGUGAUUAAUAAAAUGAUGCCUAAAGACACAUGAUAAAUGUAGAAGUUUCUCUGAUACAGGUCAAGGAUAUUGCUUACUCCAGUCAUGGCUCCAUAGAGUCCAGAACCCAGCUGCACUCCUUCACAGAAGGACAAGACUCCCUAAACUUCAGAAUGCUACAAAUGUGGACAGCUGCCAAAAUACCAUCUGAAGAGUACAGCCAAAACACCAAAGCUCGUGGCCUGUCCCUCAACCACAGUUCUAAAGAUGACAGGGAGUUCCAAGCUACAGGGUGGUGGCGCUGGCCCGUGACCCCAGGAAAUAAGCCUCUCGCUCUUCUGAAUUACCCCUGCUGCCUGUAGACUGCAAAGAGGAAGUCAGGGGAUGACAAAAGGUCUCUCACUAAAAGGUUUGAUUAAUCAGCUAAAUAUGUUUGCUCCACGAGUCUUCUUUUCCAAAUCAGGUUUUCAAAAAAAAAAAAANNNNNNNNNNNNNN